CUAGCGAGGCUUGCGAGGCUCCCAGCACCAUCUGUGCAGUGAGCAGUGCCUGGAGGAAAGAGUGGGACAGAGAUCUGGUGACUCACUGGACCCGGUUCCUUACCCCUAGAGCCACCUGGGAAGCAAGCACAUUGAACAGAAGUAACCGCCUCCCACCAAAUUCCAGUGGAAAGCAAUUCUCCUUCACACACUCAACCACUCAGUUUUCCUGAGACACAACUGCUGUUAUAAGAUUUUCAGUUACCUGGAUACGAGGCAAAGGGGACCAAGAAGAACAGACAUAGUUCCGAGUGUGCUGAUCCAAGAAAAGGCAUAUUUCCCACUAAGUCAAGAGGCACAUGGGUUUCUGGGUCUAACUUUAUUAAUCUGGAGAGCAGUGUUGUUCCUGAGCACCUGGCCAACUAUAGAUAAAAUGGAAACAAACUGUGAUGCCACCAGAACAAGACUGACUGGAGGAAUAAAGAGAAAGGAAGGCUGGCUCACGCUGCAGCCUAGGCUGGAAGAUGCCAGAAAGACUGCUGUGCUGCUGGACCCAGAGCUCUCCUCCUCCUUCCUCAGCGGUCUCAGAAACACGCAGGCUGCAGGGUCCCGCUGUGCGCAGUCUCCUCCUCCAGAUCUAGGGAGCCCUGGAUGCCAGCAGCACAACCUCGUCGAGGGACUAUGAGGAUAAAACUGGGUACCACAUGUUUAAAGAGCUCAGCACGGAGCCUGUCAUGGCGAGCACCUGUUCACGCUCCCAGCCAGGACUUCUGCCUCUGCCUUGCCAUUCACUCCUUAGCUCUGUCCACUCCACAUCCUGUUCUCUGGACCCUUGUCCUCCCUGGGUUCCUGGGAGGACUCGUGCAAGGCGAUGGGUGUGGAGUGCAAGGGCAGCGGCAAUCAGAGGGGCAGAUGGGAUGACUUGGGUCAGGAAGUCCCUGCAGUGGCCUCCAAAGGCCUCUCUGCUGAUCCCGGCCUGACUCACCCACAAAGUCCUCUCUCUUGAGGGCUCUCUCACCUUCCCAGGCCUCUACCUUCUCUUCUGUCCUGAGGAAGAAUUCUAAGACUCUCAAGAAGACAAGAGAUUUCAGAGGUCAUCUUAUCCAACAUCCUCCAGGGCGGGCUUGGAUUUCCUGGCGGCUCCUUGUACACACAGGAUGGAGCGCUUGCUACCUCUGGAGGCCCCUGUUUUGUUUGGGAGACAGUGCUGGGAAUGUGAGGGUGUUGAAUUGUAACUUCUGCCUCUGGUUCUACCUGUGGGCUCUCCCGGGAGCCUCUUCGGGUCCCUGCAGAGAGAUACACUGGCCCCUGUUACCACCCUCUCCCCUUCGUGGGCCCUACAGCCUCCCUCCCUCUGGCCUUCGGUCCUCAUCUUGUAGUUCCCAGUCCGGGUUCCUGGGGGAACCACAGUGGAG
ensembl:lncRNA